rnacentral:lncRNA from 1 species
UUAUUUUUCAUUAUAUCACUUAUCUGCUUCUAUUUUUCCUUCUUUACGAUACUCAGCUUAUGCUCUUGCACCAAAAAAUCUUCAAUCAUAUAACUUUGUCAGCCUUUGCUGUCCUAUCGUGUUCUUCCCCCCAGUAUCAAAUGCAUGCAACGAUCAGAAGGUACUUUACUCCAAACAUACCUAUUCGCUUCCUCCUGUCUGUGCGUCCUAUUACUAAUAGAUAUGUUCUUGUGCCUUGUGAUUGAUUUGUGUAAUAAUGCAAGUCGGUGAAAACUGUGGACAGUUGUUUCUUUGACUAUUAACAUAAUUGAGGAGAGGUUUUAUUUCUUUUUUUAUACUCAUGUCAAGAUUGCAGUUUAUGCAUGCUGUAUCAGUCUUGUGGGGUUCUAAGCUUUGUCCUCCAAAGAUUCACUCUUAAUUCCAAGUCAGGAUCGACCAAUGUCCUUAUAUUACCAAAUUAUACAAAAACAUUCACAAAUGAUGUAUAUAAUUGCACCUUCUAGUGAAUUAUGCUAGCUGCAUCUGUAACAGGCAUAAACAGAGUUAGCAUGGCUAGAGACAACACUCUGAGUAGAGCCCCACACACAAAACUAGUCUUUCUUGUUGCAACUUCAAAUAUGUGAUAGAUUCCCUGCACAUCCUUGAUUAUUUGGUAUGCUUCUUAUAAAAUCCUUCUUAACUCCCAUAUAUAACAAAACCUUUCCUCCAAGUGACUUAUAACUUCUUCCAUUAGUUAUCUAAGAAACAAAAUAUCAUCAUGGUUCACUUUUUGACCAUGCAUAAAGCCAAUGACUCGCAAAUAUUGUUGUUGGUAUUUCAUAACGAAUAUAAUCAUAUAUGCUUCAAAUUGCUGUUCAUUUAAUAUGGAAGAUUUAAGUAUAUAUCAAGUGUUUUCAUCAUGGCACUUCCCAUUCUUGGGUCGCCUUAAUUAGAUGUUUCUUUCCCUAAUCCGUGAUGCCUUUUUCAUAGCAUUUUAAAUUGCCACAGAAGUGCAACACAUUGACAUGGCACUACUAUUGUAUCCCUUUCCAUUAAGAAGUAAUUAGAGGAUAAUUAGACCAAUAAGCAGGGAAAAUUCUAAACUAUGGGAAAUUUUUUAGUUUCACCUAAGGGUAAUUGUAAAAUUCACAAAGAUGUGAAUUGUGAAAUCGUUUCUGCUAGCUUUCUCUGGCACCAAAACAAAGGCUACGAAAAAGUAGCAUCUCUCUUCAAAGGGAGUAGAGUCCACAAAAGGCUGCACCUUUUCACCAAAUGCUGGGGCCUGGGAUCAGAAGUGAGCAGGAAAGUCUAAAUUGUCAUGACGUCCUUAAUAGAACACUGACUAUAUUGAGAUUGUCUUUGUAGCAGUUGAAAGAUGAUAAAAUAAACCAGGUUCAAGUGUUUCUAGGUGAAGGUGUAGACUACAGACCUUGGUGAACAACUCCUAUCUCAGAUGAUCUAUCAAUGUCAGACAUUAGCUCCGACCGGCUAUGAUGAAACUUCUUAAGCACUGUCACUACUUUCCAUAACUUGAAAUGAGAAACUAAUGCUGUAAGCAACUGCCAUUGUUUUCUCACAUCAAACUUUUCAUGAAAUGCAAUCGAUUGCUUUAGUAGAAUGGGGACCAUCUGGUAAACCUUUCUUGAUUGCACUUGGAUUUCAUUGCACGGCUGAUAAGACUUUUUUUGGCAUGAUGACCCUACGCAGUACAACCAAUGGCACUGUGGUUUUUGGGCUGAUUCGCAUCACGUUCAAGUUAUUAUGACUCUGAAGCUGUUGUUUCUUAUUAGUAGUGAUGUGAGCCAAAGGAAUAGUGAUUUGUACAGAUUGAAGUGUACAGAUUUUGGCUGCUAACGUCGGCAUGGGGCUGAUGCUCUCACUGAAACUCUAAGUCUUUGCAGCUGUACUCAUCCUUUCUGCAAUCAUUUUGUUCAACGGGCUUGCGUCGAUAAGUGGGUCGUGAUUUUGCAAUCAAGAAAUGGAUGCAUUCCACGUACCUCCUUCCUUUUAAGUGCUAAAUCUUUAUGCUAUUCCUGAUGAAUUGGAUGACAUAUGUUCAUCAGAUACGUGAUUUCAUUUUCUUUUACUAGUUAUUAACCAUUUUCUUGUUUCUUACUAGUUCAAAAUCUAAAGGCAAAAGGGGAUAGCCCAUCCAGAAAAAUGCAGUUGCAUUGGAAUUUGCG